rnacentral:rRNA from 1 species
UGGGGAAUAUUGCACAAUGGGCGCAAGCCUGAUGCAGCCAUGCCGCGUGUAUGAAGAAGGCCUUCGGGUUGUAAAGUACUUUCAGCGAGGAGGAGACGUAGGUUAAUAACCUUAGCGAUUGACGUUACUCGCAGAAGAAGCACCGGCUAACUCCGUGCCAGCAGCCGCGGUAAUACGGAGGGUGCAAGCGUUAAUCGGAAUUACUGGGCGUAAAGCGCACGCAGGCGGUCUGUUAAGUCAGAUGUGAAAUCCCGGCU